rnacentral:lncRNA from 1 species
GGCCUCCGUCUUCUUCCCGUGGCUUCUGGAGUCUUCUAGAUGGUGGAAAAUCGUGCGGUGUGUUGAUAUCUCUAUGUAAUCCCGACAUGUGGGCCUUUCUUCCUUAUUUCCUGAUAACCCCCUGCAGAAAUAGAUAAACAACAAAACUCGUGGAAUUCUGUCAGAUCAAACCCUAAUUCUAGGUGUUAGUUGCAUAUUGGUCCUUUCUCUUGUUUAUUUGAUAAUUAAAAUUGAUACUUA